CUAGAUUCAGACAUACUGCCAUCUACUGACUCACCAAGGAAUGUACCAGCACAAGACACUGAUCUUCAAGGGCAAGGGAACACCAUGAGGAGAGUUCUUGAGAUCCUGCCUUCCUUUCAGAAUGCCAUCUCCAGGGUGCCAAUGGGCUGUGGCUACUGGACCAUGUAGGAGAGUGGCGCAAGAGAGCCUCACCCCGAGCCUGUGCACCUUAGAAGUCGGCAAAUGCUCCAGGGAAAGCUGCAUACAGUAUUUGAUGCCUAUUCCUUGGUGCAACACAUCAGAGCAAUGUUUCAUAUUUGAUGACCUCUGA
rnacentral:lncRNA from 1 species